rnacentral:rRNA from 1 species
GACGUAGGGCGCGAGCGUUGUCCGGAUUUAUUGGGCGUAAAGAGCUCGUAGGCGGCUUGUUGCGUCGGCUGUGAAAACCCGCAGCUCAACUGUGGGCUUGCAGCUGAUACGGGCAGGCUUGAGUUCGGUAGGGGAGAUGGAAUUCCUGGUGUAGCGGUGAAAUGCGCAGAUAUCAGGAGGAACACCGGUGGCGAAGGCGGGUCUCUGG